UACGAAGGGGGCGAGCGUUGUUCGGAUUUACUGGGCGUAAAGGGCGCGCAGGCGGCUCAUUUUGUCAGGCGUGAAAGCCCCGGGCUUAACCUGGGAACUGCGUUUGAUACGGAUGGGCUAGAGUUCGGGAGAGGAGAGUGGAAUUCCCAGUGUAGAGGUGAAAUGCGUAGAUAUCUGGAGGAACACCGGUGGCGAAGGCGGCAUCCUGGACCGGCAUUGACGCUGAGGCGCGAAAGCCAGGGGAGCAAACGGG
rnacentral:rRNA from 1 species